UGUGAGUUAGGUUUUGCUCAGAUAUUUGUGUCACUGAUAUUUCUGACUUCCCUUUAUGCAUAAAGCUGAACCAGCACUUACCACUUUGACCAGAGUAAUUAAGAAAGACCCUCAGAUCACUGAAGGGGAAGGCACUGAACUGCAGAUCAUUGAAGGACCAGAUUACUCAAAGAUUGUAACUUUCAAGGACAGUCCAGACCUCCUUGAAUCAGAAUCAGAGAGAAUCACCAGAAUCAUCAAGGAGGGCCGUUCUAAGACACGAGCUGCCGUCAGACAACCACAAGACUGAAACACAGGAUCAAGGCAAAGAGUGAGAAUGGUCAACCAUCACUCCAGACCUGGACAGUGAGAUGAAUGGGGGCUCACUGUACCUGGAGAUCCAGCUAAAGUGAAAGACAGUGUUGUAGAACAAUGUGUUUGUCCUGCAAAUACACUUUUACUACCAACCGCAUUGAAUGUUUACCCAUUAGAAACCAAAGCAGUAAUAUCUUAGAUCUGUGUGGCACACACCCCACUUUAACUCAAAUAAGGGGUACUUGAAAUAAUGGUGGUUAUAAAGAGACAUUGGUCAUUUUCUCUUUUUUUUAGCUGUUUAUAUUGUUUUUUAAAUAUAUAUACUGUAUGAGCCUUGACAUUGAGCUUGUGGUGCACAUGAUAUUUUGUGGUGCUUGCCUUCAGAGACAUGAAUGCGUUUUCAUCUUUAAGGAUCAGCAAAGCUUUGGCUGUUGAGUUCACUUUAAGUUAUGCAGCUUGUAACUUUCCAUCUGUUUCUAAUUUUCUGGUAAUUUUUUAGGAAUUUGUUCACGUCUACAUUUUUUACAUUUGUUUUUUUUUUUAUUAGAUGUGGGGGGGGGGGUUAUAGUAGAAAUUCAAAUUGUCACAUUGAAAUAUGCUUCAAUGGAGUUAAAAAAUAAAAUUAAAUAUUUUCUGUUGUUUAUCUCCAAAAACUUUUAAACUAUUUCAGUUGAUGAAUCAUAUAAAAUACUGAACAGCAGUGUGAACUGUCCUGGGACAUUGUGCUGUGACUUUUAGGCCCAUCAUUAGCAGUCAUUCUCAUCAUAUACUUCAUGAAUAUGAUGCCAUUGACUGCUAAUGAUGAGCCUAAUGAUAAUAGUCAUCACCAACCAUUUGAAAGUACGAAGUCACCUUUGAAGUGACUGAUUCUCAGUCUUCACACAUUCUGCUAUCAAUUUGCUAUUCAUCUUGAGUUUAGUAUGAACUAAAAACGUUAAUCCCUUUAUGUUCUUGUUUUCAAAUAAAUUGCAUAUCAGAAAUGACAUGACGUGAAUGCCAAAACUAACAAAGAAACACGUACGUUGACAUAGGGGAUUAUGUAGCAGCAUGCACGCCUUUACAUAAAGACAUAUGGAUGUCUUCAUGUUUCAAAAGGAGUAAAGCUUUGCUCCUUAAUAUAAACAAUCUGAAUCCCCAGACUUCAUUGGGAGGAGAAACUUGUUAAGUCUGGCAAGUUGUUUUAGAUAGUGUAUAUACACUCUUUAAACUGAAUGCGUCACCCUAUCAUCCAGUUUAAAGCUGUCCAUUAUUUGCACUGCAUGGUCUAAAGUGGAAGCUGCUAAAUCAUACCAAAUAUUGAUCCAAAUGAUCCACUAAAACUAAAACCAUAAAGAAACAUUUAUGUCACUAUAAAUAAAAUGUUAAUGGAAAUCAAAUAGAAAUCUCAAAUGUAUUUUAUUUCUAGUUUCACAUUUUCAUAGUUCAUCUGUUUAUGUACUACAACUGAAAUAAAAAGUAAUAAAAACUUUAUAUAGACAAAAAAUAAAAAUGAAAAAUAAAAAAUAUAUAAAUUCUCAUAAAAACUAUGCUCAAUGAUAUUAAAAUAACACUCAUUGGCAAUUAAUCAUCACCUUGUUCCCAUACGUUUUGAAAACAUCCACUGAAUCUUUUCAUUCCUCAGCAAUAUUAGUGCAGGAGAAAGAUCUGUGAGUAUUGAAAAUCACUUUAACUUUAAUCUACUUGUUAAGUUGAUAUUUACAUUAUGGAACAGAAUUGCUUUUUUUUUUUUUUUUUGCCAUUGCUAUUAUUUAUAUUAGUGAUUUCAAUGUAACCUUAGAUAAAUCUCCUUUAUCAGUUCUUUGUGGAAAUGUCAUGCUAUUGGAUCCCAGUUCAUCUUUAGUGAGCCAACAACAACUGACUUGCACUUACAGUAUAAGGACAAGAUUAAAGGCCAUUUCUUUCUCCACACAUCUGCUACAGAGAAAUUCUUGUACUGUGGCUGAACUUGCAGGUUCACACGUGUUCUAUUAUUCGCCAUUCGUGUGCUCUAGCAUGGGGACGUUUUUGCAGAGCGAACAUGAUUUCUCAUGUUUGGAGAGAUGACUGAGGAGAAACGUGCUUGAGUAUCUAAACAAUACAAUAGUUACUGUCCAGUAUCCAAUCAGAUUUGGAUAAUCUUAUAAAACGGUCUAUUAUGAAUGGAACUGUCCGUCCAUCCAUCUUUCAUCCAUCCAAUCAUUCAUCCAUCCAACAUAAGCCUCAACGGAUUGCAAAAAUAAUGUUUUCAAAAAAGUUUGCCAGAACAGUCCCCUGCCUUCCAUUGGUUGGAGCAACAAGUAAUCCCGCCUCCAAAUCACACCACCAGUUUUAUGUUUAAAUUAUUAUUAGAUUGGGACACAAUAAGCACACACACACACACACACACACACACACACACAACACACACACACACACACACACACACACACACACACACCAGUAUAUAAAGACAUCAACAGAACUAUCACAAUGAAUAUCUGGUGUAAGUUUUGGAUUUCUAUAUGUUACAGUCUAUGGUUGUGACAGAUCCACUAGAAGAACAGGCUGUGUGUGUCAAGUUAAAGAAAGGAGGAAAGGCUCUCAAGCGGUGCACAAAAGACCCCCAUGAUUGCUGAGAUUAGGAGUUUUUACGAGAGCAAACGAGUCAUAAAACAUAUUGAAGCGGCUGUGGUCUGUUUCAUCAUGGGGCUUCAGACCUUUUAAACACAAGUAAAUAACUGUACUUCUGCUUCUUGCUGUCACUGAACGUUAUUAUGGUCUUAAAGAAAAGUAGCAUUGCCACUUACUGGACCGGUAUACAGCAUUUUUUAGUUGUUUUUGAGGAUCCAUGGGAUCCGUGUGAACAAUUUCUUCUGAAUGCAAAACUUUUCAAAAGCGCAUUAGUACAUUAUUGUUGUGUAAACAUACUUUAAAUUUUGCAACCAAUUUGCCAAAAUGUUAAAGAGAUAAAAAUUUCCACAAAAGUAUGUUGAAACACCCCAACACAUGUCAUCAUGAUGUAUUUCUCUCUAGAAGGGCACAGCAGGAAGUUUAUUGUAUAGUAGUAGUAGAAUGUGCAGCGAAUAAAUGGCUGAAAGGUCAAUAACACAAAUCUGCAGAGUCUUACACAAAGCUGUAAAAAUGACUGAUGGAGUGCAGCUUGUUCCCAAUAUGGUGACUUCGCUGUUUGUUCACUACACUGGAGGCCGAAAUUCAGAGGAAAAUGUGCUCUCUUGUGACUUUCAUGUCAAGAACUGUUCUCGUGAUUUGACAACUAAUGAACACACUUAAUAGACACUGGCUUACAGCCAUACUUCACUGGAAGCUCUGUGCAAGUUCUUAGAGAUCGAAUUUAACAAGAAAAGAGUUGUGAAGAGGGACUUGUAACACACAACACUACAUACAUGUUCAUGCUUGCACACCACAUUCAAACUUUUUGUUUCAUUUUUAGUUAUUAGGUUAUUAGUUAUUAAGUUAUUAGUUAUUAACUGAAAUUUCACACAAUGUGUAUGGCUUCUGGAGACUUGGAAUAAUGAGCACGAGAAGUAUGGAUUACUGCUAUUUUCAACCUGGUCUCAUAAAAAUAUGUACCUCCGUGCACUUUUUAUGCCAGGGGUUCCCAAACUUUUAAGCCCGCGACCCCCAUGAUAAAUGCGCUGCUGCUCCGCGACAUAUAU
ensembl:lncRNA